AAACUUACCAGGUCAAGACAUGGGCGUGAUUGACAGGCUAAUGACUUUUCUCGAUUCCAUGGAUGGUGGUGCAUGGUCGCACUUAGUUGGUGCAGUGAUUUGUCAGGUUUAUUCCGGUAACGAACGAGACCUCGGCCUUGUAAAUAGCUAUGCUGCUUACAGGGACAUUGGCGGCUACGCCAAGGAAGCUCGAGGCAAUUGCAGAUCUGGAAUGCCCUUAGAUGUCCUGGGUCGCACGCGUGCUACAAUGACGCCACGAACGAGCUUGCGUGAUGAAAGUUACGCAUAAUCAGCAGUCGGCGUCUUAAGGGAUAGUCUCUUGUAACUGUGGGACUCCAACUAGGAAUGUCUCGUAAGCACAAGUCAACAUCUUGUGUUGAUUACGUCCCUGCUCUUUGUACACACCGCCCGUCGCUCCUACCGAUCGAGUGUUUAGGUGAAUUUGAUGGACGUAAGGAAGUCAAAUAAACCUGAGCACUAGAGGAAGGAGAAGUCGACUC
rnacentral:rRNA from 1 species